rnacentral:rRNA from 1 species
CAGUAGCCGCGGUAAUACGUAGGGUGCAAGCGUUAAUCGGAAUUACUGGGCGUAAAGCGUGCGCAGGCGGUUAGAUAAGCCAGAUGUGAAAUCCCCGAGCUCAACUUGGGAACUGCGUUUGGAACUGUUUAACUAGAGUGCGUCAGAGGGGGGUGGAAUUCCGCGUGUAGCAGUGAAAUGCGUAGAGAUGCGGAGGAACACCGAUGGCGAAGGCAGCCCCCUGGGAUGACACUGACGCUCAUGCACGAAAGCGUGGGGAGCAAACAGGAUUAGAUACCCCUGUAGUCCCUGUCUCUUAUAC